rnacentral:pre_miRNA from 1 species
AAAAAGACAAACCAUGAGUUUUCGUGUCCAACAUAAAUAUUAAUUUUUUUAUGAUUAAUAUUUUUAUUGAUAUUAUAUGAUAAAACAUAAAUAGUACUUUAUGUGUGACUAACUUUUUUUAAUUUUCUCAUAAAUUUUUCAAAUAAGACGGACGGUCAAACGUUGGACACGGAUUUCCACGGCUGCACUUAUU